rnacentral:snRNA from 1 species
AAAAUCCUGCACAAUCUCGCCUGAUUCAUUACAUAGGGGCCAUGCUAAUCUUCUCUGUAUCGUUCCAAUUUCAACGUAUGCACCGCCAAAGCGGGCUGC